rnacentral:rRNA from 1 species
AGUGAACGCUGGCGGUAGGCCUAACACAUGCAAGUCGAACGGCAGCACAGGAGAGCUUGCUCUCUGGGUGGCGAGUGGCGGACGGGUGAGGAAUACAUCGGAAUCUACUCUGUCGUGGGGGAUAACGUAGGGAAACUUACGCUAAUACCGCAUACGACCUACGGGUGAAAGCAGGGGACCUUCGGGCCUUGCGCGAUUGAAUGAGCCGAUGUCGGAUUAGCUAGUUGGGGGGGUAAAGGCCCACCAAGGCGACGAUCCGUAGCUGGUCUGAGGGGUUGAUCAGCCACACUGGAACUGAGACACGGUCCAGACUCCUACGGGAGGCAGCAGUGGGGAAUAUUGGACAAUGGGCGCAAGCCUGAUCCAGCCAUACCGCGUGGGUGAAGAAGGCCUUCGGGUUGUAAAGCCCUUUUGUUGGGAAAGAAAUCCAGCUGGCUAAUACCCGGUUGGGAUGACGGUACCCAAAGAAUAAGCACCGGCUAACUUCGUGCCAGCCGCCGCGGUAA